rnacentral:rRNA from 1 species
UACACGACCGUACCGCAAACCGACACUGGUGCGCGAGAUGAGUAUUCUAAGGCGCUUGAGAGAACUCAGGACGAGGAACUCGGCAAAUUGACACCGUAACUUCGGAAGAAGGUGUGCCUUUAGUAGGUGAACCAUUUACUUGGGGAGCCCAAUGAGGCUGCAAAAAAUCGGUGGCUGCAACUGUUUAUUAAAAACACAGCACUCUGCUAAGACGAAAGUCGACGUAUAGGGUGUGACGCCUGCCCGGUGCUGGAAGAUUAAAUGAUGGGGUGCAAGCUCUUGAUUGAAGUCCCAGUAAACGGCGGCCGUAACUAUAACGGUCCUAAGGUAGCGAAAUUCCUUGUCGGGUAAGUUCCGACCUGCACGAAUGGCGUAAUGAUGGCCACACUGUCUCCUCCUGAGACUCAGCGAAGUUGAAAUGUUUGUGAUGAUGCAAUCUCCCCGCGGAAAGACGGAAAGACCCCAUGAACCUUUACUGUAGCUUUGUAUUGGACUUUGAACAGAUCUGUGUAGGAUAGGUGGGAGGCUUUGAAGUGUGGUCGCUAGAUCGCAUGGAGCCAACGUUGAAAUACCACCCUGGUGUGUUUGAGGUUCUAACCUAGGUCCAUUAUCUGGAUCGGGGACAGUGCAUGGUAGGCAGUUUGACUGGGGCGGUCUCCUCCCAAAGUGUAACGGAGGAGUUCGAAGGUACGCUAGGUACGGUCGGACAUCGUGCUAAUAGUGCAAUGGCAUAAGCGUGCUUAACUGCGAGACUGACAAGUCGAGCAGAUGCGAAAGCAGGACAUAGUGAUCCGGUGGUUCUGUAUGGAAGGGCCAUCGCUCAACGGAUAAAAGGUACUCUGGGGAUAACAGGCUGAUACCGCCCAAGAGUUCAUAUCGACGGCGGUGUUUGGCACCUCGAUGUCGGCUCAUCUCAUCCUGGGGCUGUAGCCGGUCCCAAGGGUAUGGCUGUUCGCCAUUUAAAGAGGUACGUGAGCUGGGUUUAAAACGUCGUGAGACAGUUUGGUCCCUAUCUUCCGUGGGCGCUGCAGAUUUGAGGAAGCCUGCUCCUAGUACGAGAGGACCGGAGUGGACGAACCUCUGGUGUAUCGGUUGUCACGCCAGUGGCAUUGCCGAGUAGCUAAGUUCGGAAGAGAUAACCGCUGAAAUCAUCUAAGCGGGAAACUCGUUUCAAGAUUAGAUCUGCCGGGGCCUUGAGCCCCCUAAAGAGUCGUUCAAGACCAGGACGUUGAUAGGUCAGGUGUGGAAGCG